AUUAUCCUGCAGGUGUGGCUGCUGUGUCACAUGUCAGUAGUUGGCAGAGAGGAGUGAGGCUAUGUCUAUGCACGGUAUUCUGACCUAUGAACAUUUGAACGAUUAAUAGCCUAGCACU
rnacentral:snoRNA from 1 species